rnacentral:rRNA from 1 species
AACGGCUCAGUAACACGUAGUCAAUCUACCCUAUGGACGGGAAUAACCUCGGGAAACUGAGAAUAAUGCCCGAUAGAACAUUAUGCCUGGAAUGGUUUAUGUUUUAAAUGAUUUAUCGCCAUAGGAUGGGACUGCGGCCUAUCAGUUUGUUGGUGAGGUAAUGGCCCACCAAGACUAUUACAGGUACGGGCUCUGAGAGGAGUGGCCCGGAGAUGGGUACUGAGACACGGACCCAGGCCCUAUGGGGCGCAGCAGGCGAGAAAACUUUGCAAUGUGCGAAAGCACGACAAGGUUAAUCCGAGUGAUUUCUGCUAAAGAAAUCUUUUGCUAGUCCUAGAAACACUAGUGAAUAAGGGGUGGGCAAGUUCUGGUGUCAGCCGCCGCGGUAAAACCAGCACCUCAAGUGGUCAGGAUGAUUAUUGGGCCUAAAGCAUCCGUAGCUCGUUUUGUAAGUUUUCGGUUAAAUCCAUACGCUUAACGUAUGGGCUGCCGGGAAUACUGCAUAACUAGGAAGUGGGAGAGGUAGACGGUACUCGGUAGGAAGGGGUAAAAUCCUUUGAUCUAUUGAUGACCACCUGUGGCGAAGGCGGUCUACCAGAACACGUUCGACGGUGAGGGAUGAAAGCUGGGGGAGCAAACCGGAUUAGAUACCCGGGUAGUCCCAGCUGUAAACUAUGCAAACUCAGUGAUGCAUUGGCUUGUGGCCAAUGCAGUGCUGCAGGGAAGCCGUUAAGUUUGCCGCCUGGGAAGUACGUACGCAAGUAUGAAACUUAAAGGAAUUGGCGGGGGAGA